UAUUUAAGAGGGCAUGAACUAUGAUUGAAUAGGAAGCCAACUCACUUCUUCACCAUCCAUGUGCAACUCAUUUGUUUUGUGGACUAGUGGUAGUUAACAUUGUUUAAAUCAGCUAACACGACAGACUCCUCUCCUGCCGGGGCAUUGUGAUGGAAGGUGAUGGAAGAUGAGAACUCAGCGAUGGGAAAGGAACCGGCUGCUGACCUCCGAGCUACCAACGUACACAAAGAAACGGAGUUAAUCAUCACCUGGUCAGAAAAGAGUCAAAGGACCAAAACAAAACAAUUAGGAAGUAAUUUUGGCUUCCAAGAUAAUCCAUAGGUGCCGGGCACCUUUGCCUUUAUUUCUCUUAUUUCCUUUUUGCUACGCCCAGGAAAUGGUUGCUCAUUUUACCUGAAUAGAGGCUCAGAGAAGUUAACUCCUUCAAGGUCACACAGUACAAAGUUGGGAUUGAAAUAGUUUGUAACUGACUUCCAAUCUUGUGUUCCUGUUACCUGGCAAACUGUCCAUAUCAAGCCAGAUCAAGAAUAACAACAUUUGUCCUUUGUGAUUAUUCACAUCUCUUCAUGACUGACAAGUGGUAUGCUCAUUAGCUAUUUGAGGAAUAUCUACUGGAGGAAUAGUGGAGGAAUUUUGCCUGGGUUUCAAAAGGGCUGAUAUACUGUCCCAACGACUAUGCCAUGCUUUGCUGAUGAAAGACUAUGGCUCCUCUGCAGCCUACCCUCAGGGUGAUCUCUAACCCAAACGGAUCUUGAGGAACAGACAUUUGACUCAGCUCUGCCAACCAUCCUCACCUGUUCCCCAGAGGCUCCAUAGAAGAGGGUCCUGUUUUUUCUCAAGUCACCCCAACAUUCUCAGCAGGAUAAAAUCAAGAGUACUGAAGCUUCCCUGGAAAAGUGUCUAUUCACUUCAGGUGAUCUCUCCAACCAGGGCAGUUAGGUGUUUCUGCCAGCACCAGGCAUGUCUAUAAAUUCCUGAUCUGGAGUCAAAUAGAUAGGAAUCUAGACCCAGGCCUGUCAUUGUGUGGGCCUGAGCAUGUUGCCUGACCUGUUGGAGGCUCCUCUGCUCUCAUGUGAAGCAGGGAUGAUGUAGGGCCACUGUCAGGUGUAAAGCCCAAAGUACUGGGGUGGAGUACACUGUUCCUAACAUACAGCUUCUACAGAAACGGCACUGGCCACCCAUCCCCAGCUUAAUCACAGACCCCAAGGGACAAUGCUGAAAAUAAACAGUGCUUUCUCUGA